AGGAUGAACGCUGCGCGUGCCUAACACAUGCAAUCGGACGAUGGAACCCGCCCUCGGGCGGACAUGAAGUGGCGAACGGGUGAGUAACACGUGACCAACCUGCCCCUUGCUCCGGGACAACCUUGGGAAACCGAGGCUAAUACCGGAUACUCCUCGCCCCCCUCCUGGGGGGCCCGGGAAAGCCCAGACGGCAAGGGAUGGGGUCGCGGCCCAUUAGGUAGUAGGCGGGGUAACGGCCCACCUAGCCCGCGAUGGGUAGCCGGGUUGAGAGACCGACCGGCCACAUUGGGACUGAGAUACGGCCCAGACUCCUACGGGAGGCAGCAGUGGGGAAUUUUGCGCAAUGGGGGAAACCCUGACGCAGCAACGCCGCGUGCGGGACGACGGCCUUCGGGUUGUAAACCGCUUUCAGCAGGGAAGAAAUUCGACGGUACCUGCAGAAGAAGCUCCGGCUAACUACGUGCCAGCAGCCGCGGUAAUACGUAGGGAGCGAGCGUUAUCCGGAUUCAUUGGGCGUAAAGAGCGCGUAGGCGGCCUCUCAAGCGGGAUCUCUAAUCCGAGGGCUCAACCCCCGGCCGGAUCCCGAACUGGGAGGCUCGAGUUCGGUAGAGGCAGGCGGAAUUCCCGGUGUAGCGGUGGAAUGCGCAGAUAUCGGGAAGAACACCGAUGGCGAAGGCAGCCUG
rnacentral:rRNA from 1 species